rnacentral:lncRNA from 1 species
GCACUUGGGAAGUUUAGACCCAGGAUCUUCAAACCCAACCACCACACUGUAAGAACACAUACAGGGAUGUAGGUAGACAUUUCACAUCACAGCUUUGGUGGAGCUCCUAGUGAGCACUCGGAAUCAAUGGGGACAAACCCAAAUGCAACAUGACCCGCCUCCUCAGAUUCCUGCUGCUGCGGCUUCACUGCUAUAAUGGACUAUAACCUGGAACUGUGAGUUAACACCCAACUGUUCCUAUUGGGACCUUCCUGAACAAGGCAACCUGUAAACAACUGCACAGUGACCACCCUGCUGCCACCUUCUACCUUCAGUUCUGAAAUUUAAAAGCUGUAAAGUGGAUAUCCAGAAAGGCUCAGAAUCUAAGACACGGCUCCUUUCAAUUAAGGCUAGCCUGGGACUUUAAAAAAUGUGACCCAUCAUAACACAGCCCAGGAAGAGCUGAGCGCUUUCUCCUCCUUGCCUCUGUCUGUGAGUGUGUGCAUACGACGCUCCUCAUGAGGAAGGUUAAGAACUUGGAAGCCUGUUGGCUUAUGCAGUAGACCCGUCUGUGCGGGGCUUGUCUUUCUCAGUGACCUUGGAUCCUGAGAUGAUAAGGUCAGGUAAGGAAGAAAAACCAAAGUUCUCCAGG